GGUCAGUGAUGAAGAGUAAAAGGUCUGAUUACCCUGAGAUGAUUCCACCUCCCAGUUCCCAGCAGCCUCUUGGCUGUCAGGCUCUAGUUGUGCCGUGGCUAAGCUGAGGCCUGCUGACAUCACGGGGUGCCCCGCACACGUGUGUGUGUUUGCUUGAGUUCCAGUGAAUGCACCAUAGUGGUUGGCGUCCAACAGUGGGAGUCGGCAAGGAAUAAGGGUGGCGGGAACACAUCUCUUGGGGUCUGAUCUGAACCUUGCUAACUGAGGCC
ensembl:scaRNA